rnacentral:lncRNA from 1 species
GGCAGCUUCUACCGUUUAUUGCGCUCGGGACCCGGGCGGGGCUCGAACCCGGGUCGGACAGCGUCUGGGCGGGGCGAAAAAUAGAGGACUCUGCUGUACAGGGGGCGGCGGGGAGGCCCGGGGGGCGACUGCGCGUGCGCGGGCAACUGCGCAGGCGCGGAGAAACCGAGAAUGGCGAGCGCGCAUGUGCUGGAGUCCGGAACUGUCACUGCGCAGGCGCAAGAGGCCGCAAAGUCACUGCGCAGUCGCGGAGAGCCGGAACAGUCUUUGUACGCAUGCCCGGGCCUCUGCGCAGGCGCCGUACUCUCGGGCGACCCGGAACAGUGCAUAUGCGCAGGCGCAGUCCGCCCGGAGCUUCUCUGUGUGCGCAGUCGCAGUCCACUCUGUUGGGGGGGGAAAUCCAGGGGUCUCUACGCAGGCGCAGUCCGACCCGGCGACCCGGAACAGUCUCGGCGCAGGCGCCUCCAGCCCGGAAACGUCUCUGUGCGCAGGCGCAGUCCGCUCCAGGGCCCGGAACAGUCUGUGCGCGCAGGCGCAGUGCACCCGGGCGACCCGGAAGUCUCCUCGCGCAGGCGCGGUCCGCGUCUCCGGCCCCGCCCCCCGCCGAGGCCCCGCCCCCGGGCUGGGCGGGGCCGGCGGAGGGGGCGGGGCUACAGGAGGACGCAGCAGUGGCUCUCGCCCGUCUUCUCGCGGUUCCUCUGACCUGGGGGGGGGGGGAGAAGCGCGUCGGCGGGCGGGAGCGGCCGCGGGUUCGCGUCCCGGGAGGGGAGGAUCGCGGGUUCGCGUCCCGGGGGAGGAGGAUCGGGGGGUUCAGCGUCCUGGGUCCACGGGUCCCCGGGUUCCAGUCCCCUGUCCUCCCUCGCUCUCCCUCCUCCCCAUUCUCCAUCUUCGCCCCUCCCUGCUCUCGGUCCUCCCCUCUGUUCUACUCCUCGCACAAUCCUCCCCCUCCUCCUCCUCGCACAGUCUUCCCCCUCCUCCCCCCUCCUCUCCGUCCUCCCUCUCCCUCCUCCUCCCCCCUUCCUCCCCCUCCUCUCCAUCCUCCUCCUCUCCGUCCUCCCUCUCCCUC